rnacentral:rRNA from 1 species
UACAGAGGUCUCAAGCGUUGUUCGGAUUCAUUGGGCGUAAAGGGUGCUUAGGUGGCGGGGUAAGUCUGGUGUGAAAUCUCGGGGCUCAACUCCGAAACUGCACUGGAUACUGCCUUGCUCGAGUACUGGAGAGGAGAUUGGAAUUUACGGUGUAGCAGUGAAAUGCGUAGAUAUCGUAAGGAAGACCAGUGGCGAAGGAGAAUCUCGGGACAGUUACUGACCUUGAGGCACGAAGGCCAGGGGAGCAAACGGG